GACGAACGCUGGCGGCGUGCUUAACACAUGCAAGUCGAACGGAAAGGCCCUGCUUGCCGGGUGCUCGAGUGGCGAACGGGUGAGUAACACGUGGGUGAUCUGCCCCUUACUUUGGGAUAAGCCUGGGAAACUGGGUCUAAUACUGGAUAGGACCAUGCUGUAGGUGGUGUGGUGGAAAGAUUAGUUUCGGUAAGGGAUGAGCUCGCGGCCUAUCAGCUUGUUGGUGGGGUAAUGGCCUACCAAGGCGUCGACGGGUAGCCGGCCUGAGAGGGUGGACGGCCACAUUGGGACUGAGAUACGGCCCAGACUCCUACGGGAGGCAGCAGUGGGGAAUAUUGAACAAUGGGCGCAAGCCUGAUGCAGCGACGCCGCGUGGGGGAUGACGGCCUUCGGGUUGUAAACUCCUUUCAGCCAUGACGAAGCCCUUGUGGUGACGGUAGUGGUAGAAGAAGCACCGGCUAACUACGUG
rnacentral:rRNA from 1 species